GUUGUAUUUAAAACUGUAACUCUUAUUAAAGAGGGAACAACACAGAGAAGUCUGGCAUCGCCCCUGGUGAAAAGUGGAUACGAACAAACGUAAAGGGUUCUCUCUCUUA